CUAAGUCACUUUGUCUUUAUGGCAAAUGUGAGAUGCAGUGUAUGGAAUGUCAAAUUUCUAGUAUGAGAAAUUAACUAUUUAAGUCCUUCUUAAAUGAGGCCAUUUACCCAAAGAGGGUGCCAGGCCCGUAUAAAGUUAAUGAUUACUAGAUGGCAUUUCCAAAGAGUCGUGUUGCUUGAUAGUGCAGCACUAAGUGGGUGGUAAACUCCAUCUAAAACUAAAUAUAACCAUGAGACCGAUAGUAAACAAGUACCGUGAGGGAAAGUUGAAAAGAACUCUGAAUAGAGAGUUAAAUAGUACGUGAAACUGCUUAGAGGUUAAGCCCGAUGAACCUGAAUAUCCGUUAUAGAAAAUUCAUCAUUAUGAUUUUAAUAUUAAUAAUAUUAUAAUAAUGGUGUGCAUUUUUUCUAUAUAUGGACAUUGUAAUCUAUUAAUAUAAAUAUAUUUAUCACAAGGUCAUUUGCGUAAGUUUAUUCGAAUUAUUUUGCUUGCAAUUUAAUAUAGAAUAAAUGCUCAUGAUUUGAUAAAGUGUUGAUAGAUUUAUUAUAUAUAGUGCUUAAAUAUUUAUAUUUUAUAAUAGCAUAUUAAUCAUUGAUUUUUAUGUUUAUUAUAUGCACUUAUAUGAUUAACAAUGCGAAAGAUUCAGGAUACCUUCGGGACCCGUCUUGAAACACGGACCAAGGAGUCUAACAUAUUUGCAAGUUAUUGGGAAUUAAAACCUAAUAGCGUAAUUAACAUAACUUAAUAAUGGGAUUAGUUUUUAGCCUAUUUAUAGUCUAUUAAUUCAAUCCCGGGGCGUUCUAUACAGUUAUGUAUAAUAAUAUUUAUAUUAUUUAUACCUCUAACUAGAGCGUACCUUGAGCAUAUAUGCUGUGACCCGAAAGAUGGUGAACUAUACUUGAUCAGGUUGAAGUCAGGGGAAACCCUG
rnacentral:rRNA from 1 species